rnacentral:tRNA from 1 species
GCCGGGGUAGCUCAGUGGUAGAGCACAUCUCUGAAAAAGAUGGGGUCGUGGGUUCAAUUCCCUCUCCCGGCA